AGGAGUUUCUGAUAUGACAGUGAAAUUCAAGGAUUCGAGUGAUAAAGUCUCAACAUGAAAGUCCGUCACAUUGUUAUCUGCUUCAUCUUCCUCACACUGCAGGAUGGAAACACUGUUCCUUACAAUGCAAAGAUUGCCAUGCACACAGGAGUGGAAGGAGGAAACAUCACAGUUAAAUGUUCAUUUUAUAUCUUUGGAAAGUGGAAGCUCUUAUGUAAGGACCAAUGUGAAAGGGGAAACAUUCUCAUUGAAACAGCCGACCUUGUAGCUCAAAGAGGCAGAUACUUUAUUAAAUACAAAGAAGAAGAGUUUCCAACACGUCAUGCAGUUUUUUAUGUCAGCAUCACACAGCUGGAAAAAUCUGACUCGGGGCUGUACCGGUGCUAUUUGGACAGAGACUUGGAUCCAUAUUUGUUUGAUAGCUUUCAGCUCACGGUGACAGAAGCAUCAACAGCUUCAACACCAGCAUUGGGCCCGCAAUCUUUUUCAACUUCCACAGCAAUCACUAAACAGCCUGAAAUAACAUUUGUAAAUUCAGGUUUUCUCUGGCCUGUGGUUAUAGCUGUAGUCAUGGUGUUUUUGGUGUUGUUUGUUGUUGUGCAUCUCAUCUGCAAAAAGAAGACUACGGACUCUUAUUGUUCUCUAUGACAAUCUUCUGACGUUGCCACCUGAAGAGUCAGUAUACCAGAGCCUGGAUCCAGCCAGCAGGGAUGAAGACCAAGUGUACCUUACACUUAAACAGACAUGAAAGCACAAAUAAUCCAGCAUUCAGGCCUGAAUUUAUGUGUCACAACAGACACAGAUUGAUACAACAGACAACAUCUUUAAACACUUCUUUAUUCUUCACUUUACUAAAAGAUAACGAUUUUACAGAUUGAGCAUUAUGAUCAUUAUAAUAUUUUGGUUUAAAAUAAUUUCUCUUCUCAUUCUGGUGCAAAAUUAGAGCUCAUCUUAUAUUCAAAGGCACCACCUGGGGGUGCUGUAGGAGUAGUGACAAAUAUCAGGAUUAAAUAACAGCUCAUCAAACUGAUCUGUAAAGUUGCAAAGCAAUAAUAAACAUUUGUAUAUUGGUAUGUCUUCUUUCCAAACAGGUUUUCCAAACUCUGAGAACAUCUGAGAACCAGAGGGGAAAACAAACCCUCCUACCCUAAAAACCACGAAGCACUCUGAGAGUGCAAACAUCCACCAAAGUUUUAUUAGAAUUCAC
ensembl:lncRNA